rnacentral:rRNA from 1 species
AUUGAACGCUGGCGGCAGGCCUAACACAUGCAAGUCGAACGGUAACAGGAAACAGCUUGCUGUUUCGCUGACGAGUGGCGGACGGGUGAGUAAUGUCUGGGAAACUGCCCGAUGGAGGGGGAUAACUACUGGAAACGGUAGCUAAUACCGCAUAACGUCGCAAGACCAAAGAGGGGGACCUUCGGGCCUCUUGCCAUCGGAUGUGCCCAGAUGGGAUUAGCUAGUAGGUGGGGUAACGGCUCACCUAGGCGACGAUCCCUAGCUGGUCUGAGAGGAUGACCAGCCACACUGGAACUGAGACACGGUCCAGACUCCUACGGGAGGCAGCAGUGGGGAAUAUUGCACAAUGGGCGCAAGCCUGAUGCAGCCAUGCCGCGUGUAUGAAGAAGGCCUUCGGGUUGUAAAGUACUUUCAGCGGGGAUGAAGGGAGUAAAGUUAAUACCUUUGCUCAUUGACGUUACCCGCAGAAGAAGCACCGGCUAACUCCGUG